CUAGCAACUUUUGAUUAAGGAAGUUGAAAAACUGUUUCUUAUUUAAAUAGAUUGACAGAGAUAACGAUGCCAUUGCAUUUGAAAUUAAGGUACAGCAACUGACCCCAUCUGAAGAGGAGGGAGGAAAGGAAGUUUUUUUGCUGUUGGGGAAGCAAAAGGCCUGAACUGUAAAGCCAGUGGUGAUUUGUCAGACACGCAUGAGGAAGCAGAAAAGUUCCAAGAAAACCCAAGCAUCCAAAAUCUCAAAUGAUUGUUCCACAUCAGAAAAAAAGGAGAAAAAGCAGUCUUCAAAUGUGAUUUGUGCACAUUCACCUCACUCAGCAUAUCAAGUAUUAACCAUCACAUGAAAAUUCGUUCUGAAGAAAAAUAUCAUGUGUGUCACCUCUGCCUUAAGGCUUUUCAUUCAGCUACUCUCGUGCCUAACCAUGUGAAUGCAGGUGUCCACUUGCAAAAUCUGCAUUUAUACAUGGUUGUGGAAAUUACAUACAGUUACUAUGAAGCUGUUUUUCAUGACGGUUAUGCUCUUACUCAGCACAAGACGACUUACAGAGAUGAAAAAACAUUCGUAUGUGAUCAGUGCAGCUACACAUGCAAGCAGAAUAAUAUGUGUAAGUAUGCUGAAGAUUAUGGACUGGUGAGGGCAAAAACUGCUACACCCAGAAAAAGAAGCAAGGGCAGAAGGAAAAAAUGUGAGAACCUAAAGCGUGUUAAGCAAGAAGAUUCACAUACUGAUCUGAAGCAAAUUUUUUUCCUCAAUAUUUCUAUACCAUUGGAAGCUGUGUGA
rnacentral:lncRNA from 1 species